GCUGGACCCCUGGAGAUAAAGCUCUGGGAAGUGUUGCUCUAUGCAAGAUCAGGAAAGAAAGCUACAGAGCCAGGGAAGAGGCAAGGGCCCGGAUCCACAAAUAUUGAAGAGCUGUUGACUAUCAGAAAUCUCUUUCCCAUGCAGAUUGUGAUCAAAUCACCUCUCAGCCUCCUCUUGGAUAAACUAAAUAGACUAAAUUUUUUUAGUCUCUCACUAUAAGUGUCUCUCUGGAAGAGAGGAAAAGCCCAUGGGAAUGAACAUACAAAGAUUACCCAGAAACCAUUGGCCAACACAAGAUCACUGUCUGAAACUGUCAAACUUGAAUGAGGACAACCAAAUCCAGCUCUUAGCCAAUCAUGUGAGCAUGUAUGUGAUUUGAGCCUGCACCUAUUAAAGUGCCCUUGUUGGAGAGCUGGGCGCACGAUCCCAGGAGCUGUUCAGUUUUCAACUUUCCAGCACUUGAGAUGGAGCUAUGCUAAAUCCUGCAAUCAAGCGUGGCCUAUACUUUGAAGGAAUUAGGAUCCAGUUGAUCCGGAUCUGUACUCCACAUGCACAAAGGAAACAACUUCCAUUUUUCUGUUUUAAUAUCUACCCGUGUUGUAAUAGCAAUAAUGACCUCCCAGUCAGACAUUUCCGGACAUUUAAUGACAAUCUACGAUAAGGUUUCUUUGCUCCACCUCAGAUCCUCCAACCGGUCAUAAACUGCCAGGAAAUGUCUGACCCCAAAAUUAUUACUGGUGAGCACAGAAGCACUGAUGUUACCUGGGGUUUAGCAAGGUAAAGGCUUUCAGCAUCAUUCCUUUUACUGCCUGAAUUCUGGGCUAACUGGGUUCACAAAUAUGUAUUUAUACAAGAAGAAAAUGUCAUUAUUCUGUCCAAUUAUAAUCACAAACUUAAAAAAUUAAUUGAAGCAUGGUUUGAAUAAGCAAGAUAUUGAAUUGAGCAGGUUUUGCUUAAGUAAAUAUUUUCCAUUUUGAAACCUAAUCUAUUCACUUGAUAAACUAAAGCUCAGUUUUACUAAUUUAUCCUCCCCCCUCUUUUUUUUUUUGGUUUGCAGAAAAAAGUUUAUUCCAUUAGGAACUGUCACUGGCUUAAGAGGAUUUUACUCCACAUUUUAUAGUUUGACUCAAAGAAAAUUUAUUCUUGCAAUAGGUUUUACAAUUCUUAGCUAAAGUCAUCUUUCCUGCUGCAAUAAAAAAAAAAAGCUUUGGCUUUUGUUAGACUUGCACAUUCUUGGCUGCCAACAAUGAUUAAUCUUUCCCCUCUUCAA